rnacentral:rRNA from 2 species
GAACUCUGGUAUUGAUUGGUGCUUGCAUCAUGAUUUACAUUUGAGUGAGUGGCGAACUGGUGAGUAACACGUGGGAAACCUGCCCAGAAGCGGGGGAUAACACCUGGAAACAGAUGCUAAUACCGCAUAACAACUUGGACCGCAUGGUCCGAGNUUGAAAGAUGGCUUCGGCUAUCACUUNUGGAUGGUCCCGCGGCGUAUUAGCUAGAUGGUGAGGUAACGGCUCACCAUGGCAAUGAUACGUAGCCGACCUGAGAGGGUAAUCGGCCACAUUGGGACUGAGACACGGCCCAAACUCCUACGGGAGGCAGCAGUAGGGAAUCUUCCACAAUGGACGAAAGUCUGAUGGAGCAACGCCGCGUGAGUGAAGAAGGGUUUCGGCUCGUAAAACUCUGUUGUUAAAGAAGAACAUAUCUGAGAGUAACUGUUCAGGUAUUGACGGUAUUUAACCAGAAAGCCACGGCUAACUACGUGCCAGCAGCCGCGGUAAUACGUAGGUGGCAAGCGUUGUCCGGAUUUAUUGGGCGUAAAGCGAGCGCAGGCGGUUUUUUAAGUCUGAUGUGAAAGCCUUCGGCUCAACCGAAGAAGUGCAUCGGAAACUGGGAAACUUGAGUGCAGAAGAGGACAGUGGAACUCCAUGUGUAGCGGUGAAAUGCGUAGAUAUAUGGAAGAACACCAGUGGCGAAGGCGGCUGUCUGGUCUGUAACUGACGCUGAGGCUCGAAAGUAUGGGUAGCAAACAGGAUUAGAUACCCUGGUAGUCCAUACCGUAAACGAUGAAUGCUAAGUGUUGGAGGGUUUCCGCCCUUCAGUGCUGCAGCUAACGCAUUAAGCAUUCCGCCUGGGGAGUACGGCCGCAAGGCUGAAACUCAAAGGAAUUGACGGGGGCCCGCACAAGCGGUGGAGCAUGUGGUUUAAUUCGAAGCUACGCGAAGAACCUUACCAGGUCUUGACAUACUAUGCAAAUCUAAGAGAUUAGACGUUCCCUUUCGG